rnacentral:ncRNA from 1 species
CUUGGAUAACUGUGGUAAUUCUAGAGCUAAUACAUGCGAGAAGCGCCGACCUCGCGGGAGGCGUGCAUUUAUCAGACCAAAAACCGGCCGCGUCUUCGGGCGCGUUCGCCUUGGUGACUCUGGAUAACUUUGCGGAUCGCACGGUCUAGCACCGGCGACGGAUCAUUCAAGUGUCUGCCCUAUCAACUUUCGUCGGUACGGUAUUUGCCUACCGAGGUUCUUACGGGUGACGGGGAAUCAGGGUUCGAUUCCGGAGAGGGAGCCUGAGAAACGGCUACCACAUCCAAGGAAGGCAGCAGGCGCGCAAAUUGCCCAUUCCCGACGCGGGGAGGUAGUGACGAAAAAUAACAAUGCAGGACUCGUUCGAGGCCCUGUAAUUGGAAUGAGUACACUUUAAAAGCUUUAACGAGUAUCCAUUGGAGGGCAAGUCUGGUGCCAGCAGCCGCGGUAAUUCCAGCUCCAAAAGUAUAUAUUUAAGUUGUUGCGGUUAAAAAGCUCGUAGUUGGAUUUUGGGCGCAGGCGGCCGGUCCGUCGCAAGGCGUGUACUGGACGUCCUGGCCUUCCCUCCGGUUCUCCGCCGGUGCUCUUGACUGAGUGUCGGCGGCGGCCGGAACGUUUACUUUGAAAAAAUUAGAGUGUUCAAAGCAGGCUCUCGAGCCUGGAUAAUGGUGCAUGGAAUAAUGGAAUAGGACCUCGGUUCUAUUUUGUUGGUUUUCGGAGCGCGAGGUAAUGAUUAAGAGGGACAGACGGGGGCAUUCGAACUGUGCCGUUAGAGGUGAAAUUCUCGGA